AAAAGGAGGCCUGCCGAAUUCGGCAGGCCUCAAGUUUUAUGAGAGCGGGAAACCAGUUCUCAUAUCGUCAUUAGAAG
rnacentral:sRNA from 1 species